rnacentral:rRNA from 1 species
AUUGAACGCUGGCGGCAGGCCUAACACAUGCAAGUCGAGCGGAUGAAGGGAGCUUGCUCCUGGAUUCAGCGGCGGACGGGUGAGUAAUGCCUAGGAAUCUGCCCGGUAGUGGGGGAUAACGUCCGGAAACGGGCGCUAAUACCGCAUACGUCCUGAGGGAGAAAGUGGGGGAUCUUCGAACCUCACGCUAUCAGAUGAGCCUAGGUCGGAUUAGCUAGUUGGUGGGGUAAAGGCCUACCAAGGCGACGAUCCGUAACUGGUCUGAGAGGAUGAUCAGUCACACUGGAACUGAGACACGGUCCAGACUCCUACGGGAGGCAGCAGUGGGGAAUAUUGGACAAUGGGCGAAAGCCUGAUCCAGCCAUGCCGCGUGUGUGAAGAAGGUCUUCGGAUUGUAAAGCACUUUAAGUUGGGAGGAAGGGCAGUAAGUUAAUACCUUGCUGUUUUGACGUUACCAACAGAAUAAGCACCGGCUAACUUCGUG